AGUCGUAACAAGGUUUCUGUAGGUGAACCUGCAGAAGGAUCAUUAGUGAAGAUUUGGGCAGGCCAUACGGACGCCAAAAAGUGUCCCUGGCCGCCUACACCCACUAUACAUCCACAAACCCGUGUGCACUGUCUUGGAGAAAGGCUUCAGAGAAGUUUUUUGUGGCCUCUCUUGGGGUCUUUCUUCGCUACAAACUCGAAUGGUUAGUAUGAACGUGGAACUUGGUUGGACCGUCACUGGCCAACAAACUAUACACAACUUUCGACAACGGAUCUCUUGGUUCUCCCAUCGAUGAAGAACGCAGCGAAACGCGAUAGGUAAUGUGAAUUGCAGAAUUCCGUGAAUCAUCGAAUCUUUGAACGCACCUUGCGCUCUAUGGCAAUCCGUAGAGCAUGCCUGUUUGGGUGCCAUGAAAUCUCCCACCCCAAGCGGUUUUUAAAUGAAACGGCUUGGCGGAUGGGGUCUGGAUGGGUGCCUCUGCCUGCGCUACCUAGCACAGGCUCGCCCGAAAUGCAUGAGCGCCUUGAGACACUUUGCAUCCGCCCCUCUGUUUGGGAGGAGGCGGCCAAGCAGUGUUUUUCUCCUGGCAUGGCAUGAUACGUCAUUUGCUAUGUCGCCUAAAGGAGGAAUGUUUGGUUGUGUCUGCGUGUGCUUCGAACUUGCCUCUGUGGCACAUCCCAAUUUCACUUCUGGUCUCAAAUCAGGUAGGAUCACCCGCUGAACUUAAGCAUAUCAAUUAAAAGUCG
rnacentral:rRNA from 1 species